rnacentral:rRNA from 1 species
UACGUAGGGGGCAAGCGUUGUCCGGAUUUAUUGGGCGUAAAGAGCUCGUAGGCGGUUUGGUAAGUCUGGUGUGAAAUCUCCACGCUCAACGUGGAGGGGCCACCCGAUACUGCCAUGACUGGAGUCCGGUAGAGGAGUGUGGAAUUCCUGGUGUAGCGGUGAAAUGCGCAGAUAUCAGGAGGAACACCAGCGGCGAAGGCGGCGCUCUGGGCCGGUACUGACGCUGAGGAGCGAAAGCGUGGGGAGCAAACAGG